CCUACGGGAGGCAGCAGUGGGGAAUAUUGCGCAAUGGGCGAAAGCCUGACGCAGCGACGCCGCGUGAGGGAUGAAGGUCUUCGGAUCGUAAACCUCUGUCAGCAGGGAAGAACGGUCACUGUGCUAAUCAGCAGUGAAUUGACGGUACCUGCAAAGGAAGCACCGGCUAACUCCGUGCCAGCAGCCGCGGUAAUACGGAGGGUGCGAGCGUUAAUCGGAUUUACUGGGCGUAAAGCGCUCGUAGGCGGUAUGUCAAGUCAAGGGUGAAAUCCCCGCGCUCAACGUGGGAACUGCCUUUGAAACUGGCAGACUGGAGUGUGUGAGAGGAUAGUGGAAUUCAAGGUGUAGGAGUGAAAUCCGUAGAUAUCUGGAGGAACAUCAGUGGCGAAGGCGACUAUCUGGCACAUAACUGACGCUGAGGAGCGAAAGCGUGGGUAGCAAACAGGAUUAGAUACCCUGGUAGUC
rnacentral:rRNA from 1 species